CGAGUCAAACUCCAAUUUGGAUUUGAACAACAAAUACCGUCUCAGCCAAGAUGUCUAAGUGAACACCAUAACAUGACUAUGGUCCAAGCUUGGGACACACAUUGGCAAGUCAAACUCCAAUUUGGAUUUGAACAACAAAUACCGUCUCAGCCAAGAUGUCUAAGUGAACACCAUAACAUGACUAUGGUCCAAGCUUGGGACACACAUUGGCAAGAUUUAAAU
rnacentral:lncRNA from 1 species